rnacentral:rRNA from 1 species
GUUGAUUCUGGCUCAGAUUGAACGCUGACGGGAUGCUUUACAUGCAAGUCAGUGGCAGCACGGACUUCGUCUGGUGGCGAGUGGCGAACGGUGAGUAAUGUAUCGGAACGUGCCUAGUAGCGGGGGAUAACUACGCGAAAGCGUAGCUAAUACCGCAUACGCCCUUCGAGAAAGCGGGGGACCUUCGGGCCUCGCACUAUUAAACGGCCGAUAUCGGAUUAGCUAGUUGGUGGGGUAACGGCUCACCAAGGCGACGAUCUGUGGUUUGAGAGGACGAUAACCACUGGGACUGAGACACGGCCAGACUCCUACGAAGGAGCAGCCCAGUGGGGAAUUUUGGACAAUGGGGGAAACCUGAUCCAGCCAUCCCGCGUGUGCGAUGAAGGCCUUCGGGUUGUAACCUUUUGGCGGAAAGAAACGGCCUGGGAUAAUACCCCGUGCAACUGACUACCUGCAGAAUAAGCACCGGCUAACUACGUGCCAGCAGCGCGGUAAUACAUGCGGGAGUGCAAGCGUUAAUCGGAAUUACUGGGCGUAAAGCGUGCGCAGGCGGUUCGGAAGAAGAUGUCUUGAAAUCCCAGGCUUAACUUUGGAACGCAUUUUUAACUACCGAGCUAGAGUGUGUCAGAGAAGUGGAAUUCCGCGUGUAGCAGUGAAAUGCGUAGAUAUGCGGAGAGACACACCGAUAAAGAAAGCGCUCUGGGUUCUCUUUGCAAUCAUGCACGAAAGCGUGGGGAGCAAACAGGAUUAGAUACCCUGGUAGUCCACGCCCUAAACGAUGUCAACUAGCUAUUGUUGGGGCCUUCAGGCCUUGGUAGCGCAGCUAACGCGUGAAGUUGACCGCCUGGGAGAGUACGGUCGCAAGAUUAAAACUCAAAGGAAUUGACGGGGACCCGCACAAGCGGUGGAUGAUGUGGAUUAAUUCGAUGCAACGCGAAAAACCUUACCUACCCUUGACAUGUCUGGAAUCCCGAAGAUUUAGGUGCUCGCAGAAAGCUUCCGGAACACAGGUGCUGCAUGGCUGUCGUCAGCUCGUGUCGUGAGAUGUGGGACUGAAGAUCCGCGCUCGACAACUGCUAUCCAUUAGUUGCUACGAAAGGGCACUCUGUAUCAGGGCUGCUGACCGAUAAACCGGAGGAAGGUGGGGAUAACAUCUCAAGUCCUCAUGGCCCACCAUGGUGGAGCUUCACACGUCAUCCCUAUUGGUCGGGAUGAGGUCGCCAACCCGCGAGGGGAGCCAAUCCCAGAAACCCGAUCGUAGUCCGGAUCGCAGUCUGCAACUCAUUGCGUGAAGUCGGAAUCGCUGGUAAUCGCGGAUCAGCAUGUCGCGGUGAAUACGUUCCCGGGUCUUGUACACACCGCCCGUCACACCAUGGGAGUGGGUUUUACCAGAAGUAGUUAGCCUAACCGUAAGGAGGGCGAUUACCACAGUAGGAUUCAUGACUGGGGUGAAGUCGUAACAAGGUAACUCUGUUACCUGAUACUCAG